rnacentral:rRNA from 1 species
GACGAACGCUGGCGGCGUGCUUAACACAUGCAAGUCGAACGGAAAGGCCCUGCUUGCAGGGUACUCGAGUGGCGAACGGGUGAGUAACACGUUGGUGAUCUGCCCUGCACUUCGGGAUAAGCCUGGGAAACUGGGUCUACUACCGGAUAGGAGCCAUUUUUAGUGUGAUGGUUGGAAAGUUUUUUCGGUGUAGGAUGAGCUCGCGGCCUAUCAGCUUGUUGGUGGGGUAAUGGCCUACCAAGGCGGCGACGGGUAGCCGGCCUGAGAGGGUGGCCGGCCACAGUGGGACUGAGAUACGGCCCAGACUCCUACGGGAGGCAGCAGGGGGGAAUAUUGCACAAUGGGCGCAAGCCUGAUGCAGCGACGCCGCGGGGGGGAUGACGGCCUUCGGGUUGUAAACUCCUUUCGCUAGGGACGAAGCUUUUUGUGACGGUACCUAGAGAAGAAGCACCGGCUAACUACGUG